rnacentral:rRNA from 1 species
GGGUUGUGAGGUUAAGCGACUAAGCGUACACGGUGGAUGCCCUGGCAGUCAGAGGCGAUGAAGGGCGUGCUAAUCUGCGAUAAGCGCCGGUAAGGUGAUAUGAACCGUUAUAACCGGCGAUACCCGAAUGGGGAAACCCAGUGUGAUUCGUCACACUAUCAUUACGUGAAUACAUAGCGUAAUGAAGCGAACCGGGGGAACUGAAACAUCUAAGUACCCCGAGGAAAAGAAAUCAACCGAGAUUCCCCCAGUAGCGGCGAGCGAACGGGGAGGAGCCCAGAGCCUGAAUCAGCAUGUGUGUUAGUGGAAGCGUCUGGAAAGGCGCGCGAUACAGGGUGACAGCCCCGUACACAAAAGCGCAUGUGUUGUGAGCUCGAUGAGUAGGGCGGGACACGUGGUAUCCUGUCUGAAUAUGGGGGGACCAUCCUCCAAGGCUAAAUACUCCUGACUGACCGAUAGUGAACCAGUACCGUGAGGGAAAGGCGAAAAGAACCCCGGCGAGGGGAGUGAAAAAGAACCUGAAACCGUGUACGUACAAGCAGUGGGAGCACCCUUUGGGGUGUGACUGCGUACCUUUUGUAUAAUGGGUCAGCGACUUAUAUUCUGUAGCAAGGUUAACCGAAUAGGGGAGCCGGAGGGAAACCGAGUCUUAAUUGGGCGUUAAGUUGCAGGGUAUAGACCCGAAACCCGGUGAUCUAGCCAUGGGCAGGUUGAAGGUUGGGUAACACUAACUGGAGGACCGAACCGACUAAUGUUGAAAAAUUAGCGGAUGACCUGUGGCUGGGGGUGAAAGGCCAAUCAAACCGGGAGAUAGCUGGUUCUCCCCGAAAGCUAUUUAGGUAGCGCCUCGUGAAUUCAUCUCCGGGGGUAGAGCACUGUUUCGGCUAGGGGGCCAUCCCGGCUUACCAACCCGAUGCAAACUGCGAAUACCGGAGAAUGUUAUCACGGGAGACACACGGCGGGUGCUAACGUCCGUCGUGAAGAGGGAAACAACCCAGACCGCCAGCUAAGGUCCCAAAGUCAUGGUUAAGUGGGAAACGAUGUGGGAAGGCCCAGACAGCCAGGAUGUUGGCUUAGAAGCAGCCAUCAUUUAAAGAAAGCGUAAUAGCUCACUGGUCGAGUCGGCCUGCGCGGAAGAUGUAACGGGGCUAAACUAUGCACCGAAGCUGCGGCAGCGACACUAUGUGUUGUUGGGUAGGGGAGCGUUCUGUAAGCCUGUGAAGGUGUGUCGUGAGGCAUGCUGGAGGUAUCAGAAGUGCGAAUGCUGACAUAAGUAACGAUAAAGCGGGUGAAAAGCCCGCUCGCCGGAAGACCAAGGGUUCCUGUCCAACGUUAAUCGGGGCAGGGUGAGUCGACCCCUAAGGCGAGGCCGAAAGGCGUAGUCGAUGGGAAACGGGUUAAUAUUCCCGUACUUGGUGUUACUGCGAAGGGGGGACGGAGAAGGCUAUGUUGGCCGGGCGACGGUUGUCCCGGUUUAAGCGUGUAGGUGUGUGUUCCAGGUAAAUCCGGUUCACUUUAACACUGAGGCGUGACGACGAGGCACUACGGUGCUGAAGCAACAAAUGCCCUGCUUCCAGGAAAAGCCUCUAAGCAUCAGGUAACAUCAAAUCGUACCCCAAACCGACACAGGUGGUCAGGUAGAGAAUACCAAGGCGCUUGAGAGAACUCGGGUGAAGGAACUAGGCAAAAUGGUGCCGUAACUUCGGGAGAAGGCACGCUGACACGUAGGUGAAGUGAUUUACUCAUGGAGCUGAAGUCAGUCGAAGAUACCAGCUGGCUGCAACUGUUUAUUAAAAACACAGCACUGUGCAAACACGAAAGUGGACGUAUACGGUGUGACGCCUGCCCGGUGCCGGAAGGUUAAUUGAUGGGGUCAGCGCAAGCGAAGCUCCUGAUCGAAGCCCCGGUAAACGGCGGCCGUAACUAUAACGGUCCUAAGGUAGCGAAAUUCCUUGUCGGGUAAGUUCCGACCUGCACGAAUGGCGUAAUGAUGGCCAGGCUGUCUCCACCCGAGACUCAGUGAAAUUGAACUCGCUGUGAAGAUGCAGUGUACCCGCGGCAAGACGGAAAGACCCCGUGAACCUUUACUAUAGCUUGACACUGAACAUUGAGCCUUGAUGUGUAGGAUAGGUGGGAGGCUUUGAAGUGUGGACGCCAGUCUGCAUGGAGCCGACCUUGAAAUACCACCCUUUAAUGUUUGAUGUUCUAACGUGGACCCGUGAUCCGGGUUGCGGACAGUGUCUGGUGGGUAGUUUGACUGGGGCGGUCUCCUCCUAAAGAGUAACGGAGGAGCACGAAGGUUGGCUAAUCCUGGUCGGACAUCAGGAGGUUAGUGCAAUGGCAUAAGCCAGCUUGACUGCGAGCGUGACGGCGCGAGCAGGUGCGAAAGCAGGUCAUAGUGAUCCGGUGGUUCUGAAUGGAAGGGCCAUCGCUCAACGGAUAAAAGGUACUCCGGGGAUAACAGGCUGAUACCGCCCAAGAGUUCAUAUCGACGGCGGUGUUUGGCACCUCGAUGUCGGCUCAUCACAUCCUGGGGCUGAAGUAGGUCCCAAGGGUAUGGCUGUUCGCCAUUUAAAGUGGUACGCGAGCUGGGUUUAGAACGUCGUGAGACAGUUCGGUCCCUAUCUGCCGUGGGCGCUGGAGAACUGAGGGGGGCUGCUCCUAGUACGAGAGGACCGGAGUGGACGCAUCACUGGUGUUCGGGUUGUCAUGCCAAUGGCACUGCCCGGUAGCUAAAUGCGGAAGAGAUAAGUGCUGAAAGCAUCUAAGCACGAAACUUGCCCCGAGAUGAGUUCUCCCUGAGACUUAGAGUCUCCUGAAGGAACGUUGAAGACGACGACGUUGAUAGGCCGGGUGUGUAAGCGCAGCGAUGCGUUGAGCUAACCGGUACUAAUGAACCGUGAGGCUUAACCUUACAACGCCGAAG